rnacentral:rRNA from 1 species
UACGGGGGGGGCAAGCGUUGUUCGGAAUUACUGGGCGUAAAGGGCUCGUAGGUGGCCAACUAAGUCACACGUGAAAUCCCUCGGCUUAACCGGGGAACUGCGUGUGAUACUGGAUGGCUUGAGUUUGGGAGAGGGAUGCGGAAUUCCAGGUGUAGCGGUGAAAUGCGCAGAUAUCAGGAGGAACACCCGUAGCGAAGGCGGCACUCUGGGCCGAUACUGACACUGAGGAGCGAAAGCGUGGGGAGCGAACAGG